rnacentral:rRNA from 1 species
UACGUAGGCAGCGAGCGUUUGUUCGGAAUUACUGGGCGUAAAGAGUGUGUAGGCGGUGCUCUAAGUUCGGUGUGAAAUCUCCUGGCUCAACUGGGAGGGUGCGCCGGAAACUGGAGUGCUUGAGCGUGGGAGAGGAAAGCGGAAUUCCUGGUGUAGCGGUGGGAAUGCGCAGAUAUCAGGAGGAACACCGGUGGCGAAGGCGGAUCUCUGGGCCAUAACUGACGCUGAGGAGCGAAAAGCAUGGGGGAGCGAACAGG